rnacentral:rRNA from 1 species
CCUACGGGAGGCAGCAGUAGGGAAUAUUGCUCAAUGGGGGAAACCCUGAAGCAGCAACGCCGCGUGAGGGAAGAAGGUUCUCGGAUUGUAAAACCCUUUUGUUAGAGAAGAUAAUGACGGUAUCUAACGAAUAAGCACCGGCUAACUCCGUGCCAGCAGCCGCCGUAAUCCGGAGGGUGCAAGCGUUAAUCGGAAUCACUGGGCGUAAAGAGCGCGUAGGCGGGAUAGCAAGUCAGAUGUGAAAGCCUAUGGCUUAACCAUAGAACUGCAUUUGAAACUGUUGUUCUAGAGUAUGGGAGAGGUAUGCGGAAUUCUUGGUGUAGGGGUAAAAUGCGUAGAUAUCAAGAGGAAUACUCAUUGCGAAGGCGACCUGCUAGAACAUAACUGACGCUGAGGCUCGAAAGCGUGGGGAGCAAACAGGAUUAGAUACCCUUGUAGUC